AAUCAACGCUGGCGGCGUGCCUAACACAUGCAAGUCGCACGAGAAAGGGACUUCGGUCCUGAGUACAGUGGCGCACGGGUGAGUAACACGUGAGUAAUCUACCUCCGAGUGGGGAAUAACUGAGAGAAAUCUUAGCUAAUACCGCAUAACACUUAUGAGUCAAAGCAGCAAUGCGCUUGGAGAGGAGC
rnacentral:rRNA from 1 species